AGGCCGAAGUACAUGAUUCCAUGCUUCCAAGAAAAGCAUCUAGAGGGAGAAGUAGUGCCCGUACCGCAAACCGACACGGGUAGAUGAGGAGAGAAUCCUAAGGCCGGCGGAAGAAUUGCAGUUAAGGAACUAGGCAAAUUGACCCCGUAAGUUCGCGAGAAGGGGUGCCUGCGAGAGCAGGCCGCAGAGAAUAGGCCCAAGCAACUGUUUAGCAAAAACACAGGUCUCUGCUAAAGCGUAAGCUGAUGUAUAGGGGCUGACGCCUGCCCGGUGCUGGAAGGUUAAGGGGAACACUUAGCGCAAGCAAAGGUGUGAACUUAAGCCCCAGUAAACGGCGGCCGUAACAAUAACGGUCCUAAGGUAGCGAAAUUCCUUGUCAGGUAAGUUCUGACCCGCACGAAUGGCGUAAUGACUUGGGCACUGUCUCAACUGCAAAUCCGGCGAAGUUGUAGUGCGAGUGAAGAUGCUCGCUACCCGCGAUUGGACGGAAAGACCCCGUAGAGCUUUACUGUAGCUUAGCAUUGAAUUCCGGUAUUGUCUGUACAGGAUAGGUGGGAGACUGGGAAACUAGGGCGUCAGCCUUAGUGGAGUCAACCUUGGGAUACCACCCUGACAGUACUGGGGUUCUAACAGGACGCCAUGAAUCUGGUGACUGGACAUUGUUAGGUGGGCAGUUUGACUGGGGCGGUCGCCUCCUAAAAAGUAACGGAGGCGCCCAAAGGUUCCCUCAGAACGGUCGGAAAUCGUUCGUAGAGUGCAAAGGCAGAAGGGAGCCUGACUGCGAGACAUACAAGUCGAGCAGGGACGAAAGUCGGGCUUAGUGAUCCGGUGGUACCUCGUGGGAGGGCCAUCGCUCAACGGAUAAAAGCUACCUCGGGGAUAACAGGCUGAUCUCCCCCAAGAGUCCACAUCGACGGGGAGGUUUGGCACCUCGAUGUCGGCUCGUCGCAUCCUGGGGCUGUAGUAGGUCCCAAGGGUUGGGCUGUUCGCCCAUUAAAGCGGCACGCGAGCUGGGUUCAGAACGUCGUGAGACAGUUCGGUCCCUAUCCGUCGCGGGCGUAGGAAAUUUGAGAGGAGCUGUCCUUAGUACGAGAGGACCGGGAUGGACUGACCUCUGGUGUACCAGUUGUUCCGCCAGGAGCAUGGCUGGGUAGCUAAGUCGGGAAGGGAUAAACGCUGAAAGCAUCUAAGCGUGAAGCCUCCCUCAAGAUGAGAUUUCCCAUAGCAUAAGCUAGUAAGACCCCUUGAAGAACACAAGGUUGAUAGGUCAGAGGUGUAAGUGCGGUAACGUAUUUAGCUGACUGAUACUAAUAGGUCGAGGGCUUGACC
rnacentral:rRNA from 1 species